rnacentral:lncRNA from 1 species
GAAUUACAAGAUCUAAAACAAGUGUUGAGUUGUGGGAGUAGUCUCUUCCUCAUUCCUAAUAGAUUAUGAUCAACAUCCAGUGCAGCUCUGACUGUUGUGUUUGUCAAAAAGGGCACAUGUGCUACAAAUAUUCGUUAUACAGGGAAUUAGAUGUAAAUUCAUGCUUUAAUAUGAAAGAUAUACACAGUCAUGUAUAUAUAAAACUACAUACAUAAUACAAGAUGUAGAUAAUAUAUAAUUAAAAUUUACACUUAAACGUAAGCGGUACUUACUAGUUGCCACCAUGACGAGAAUAGCGAGCACAAAAGAAUUCUUUAGCAACAUCAUUGUGUUAUAAAAGUUUAUGAGUGGCUAAUUACUUCUAAAAUGUCGUAAUUUAUAGACCUUCUUGAGAUCAAACUACAUCUCUG